CGUUUUUCGCCCAGGCGGAGCUCGACUGGCAAGCCCCCUACGCCGACUGAAGUCGUAAAGGCUUUCAUCGACCAGCACCGCCACGCCUUCGGGGUCAAGCCGCUCUGCAAGGUUCUGCAGGUUGCUCC
rnacentral:ncRNA from 1 species